GGAAGGUUUAAGCAUGGCCCUGAUUAAAGAUGGUAGAUGAACUAGCUGCCCUGGCAACUGCCCUCUGAUUUCCAGAGUUCUAUAAAAACCCAAAGGAUCUGUGAUUCCAGUGCUGCCCUUGGUGAUUCACGGAGAAGGUUAUUUUACCCUGGGGACAGAGUGCCACACAAAGACUUUCCUGCUGCUGAAUGUGUGAACAAACACCAUCUCAGAGAAUCAAUAGAAGAAAUCUAAGAAGAAAUGCCUUGAUUGGCAAAGACUUCUGGUGGCCUAUACAGAAUCAUAAAAUGAAUGAAGCACCUGAUGGUCAAGGAAGAGAAAAGAAGAUGAAAGGAUGAAUGCGUAUUUGUUUCAUAAUCACUAACAGGUGUUAAUAAAACGUAUUGUACAAUGCUCAAUUGUCAUGACAUUGAAAGGGAUCAGGUUCACCUGUUCAUUGUGAUAUAUUAUGUAGUUUCACUUCUUAAAAUGCAACAGCUCUGUUGAAUUGUUCUUA
rnacentral:lncRNA from 1 species